AGCCCAUAACCCAGGAGUACAGAAGCAAAAUGAUUAUGAUUAAGGAGUAAAGGAGGUUAAACCUAUAGAUAAUACUACCAAAACAUAGAGAAUAAAGGUAGAUGACUAACAGAUAAACAUACAGAGAACUCAGUCAGCGAUGAACAGACAAACAAAAGUUUGAAUACAAACUAGGUAUAUAAAAUAAAAAUCUAAACUAAGGCACAGGC
rnacentral:lncRNA from 1 species